rnacentral:rRNA from 1 species
CAUGCAAGUCGAACGAGAAUCUACUGAAAGAGUUUUCGGACAAUGGAUGUAGAGGAAAGUGGCGGACGGGUGAGUAACGCGUGAGGAACCUGCCUUGAAGAGGGGGACAACAGUUGGAAACGACUGCUAAUACCGCAUAACGCAUAGGGGUCGCAUGAUCUUUAUGCCAAAGAUUUAUUGCUUCAAGAUGGCCUCGCGUCUGAUUAGCUAGUUGGCGGGGUAACGGCCCACCAAGGCGACGAUCAGUAGCCGGACUGAGAGGUUGAACGGCCACAUUGGGACUGAGAUACGGCCCAGACUCCUACGGGAGGCAGCAGUGGGGAAUAUUGGGCAAUGGGCGCAAGCCUGACCCAGCAACGCCGCGUGAAGGAAGAAGGCUUUCGGGUUGUAAACUUCUUUUAAGAGGGAAGAGUAGAAGACGGUACCUCUAGAAUAAGCCACGGCUAACUACGUGCCAGCAGCCGCGGUAAUACGUAGGUGGCAAGCGUUGUCCGGAUUUACUGGGUGUAAAGGGCGUGCAGCCGGGUCUGCAAGUCAGAUGUGAAAUCCAUGGGCUCAACCCAUGAACUGCAUUUGAAACUGUAGAUCUUGAGUGUCGGAGGGGCAAUCGGAAUUCCUAGUGUAGCGGUGAAAUGCGUAGAUAUUAGGAGGAACACCAGUGGCGAAGGCGGAUUGCUGGACGAUAACUGACGGUGAGGCGCGAAAGUGUGGGGAGCAAACAGGAUUAGAUACCCUGGUAGUCCACACUGUAAACGAUGAAUACUAGGUGUGCGGGGACUGACCCCCUGCGUGCCGCAGUAAACACAAUAAGUAUUCCACCUGGGGAGUACGAUCGCAAGGUUGAAACUCAAAGGAAUUGACGGGGGCCCGCACAAGCGGUGGAUUAUGUGGUUUAAUUCGAAGCAACGCGAAGAACCUUACCAGGGUUUGACAUCCUGCUAACGAAGUAGAGAUACAUUAGUG